GCCGCUGUGGCGGAAUUGGCAGACGCAGCAGACUCAAAAUCUGCCGCCAGCGAUGGUGUACCGGUUCAAGUCCGGUCAGCGGCA
rnacentral:tRNA from 1 species